AASCCUGACGCANCAACGCCGCGUGGAGGAAGAAGGUCUUCGGAUUGUAAACUCCUGUCUUCUGGGACGAUAAUGACGGUACCAGAGGAGGAAGCCACGGCUAACUACGUGCCAGCAGCCGCGGUAAUACGUAGGUGGCGAGCGUUGUCCGGAAUUACUGGGCGUAAAGGGCGCGUAGGCGGCUCUUUAAGUUAGAUGUGAAAACCCAGGGCUUAACUCUGGGACUGCAUUUAAAACUGAAGGGCUCGAGUGCAGGAGAGGUAAGUGGAAUUCCUAGUGUAGCGGUGAAAUGCGUAGAUAUUAGGAGGAACACCAGUGGCGAAGGCGACUUACUGGACUGUAACUGACGCUGAGGCGCGAAAGCGUGGGGAGCAAACAGGAUUAGAUACCCUGGUAGUCCACGCUGUAAACGAUGGAUACUAGGUGUGGGAGGUAUCGACCCCUUCCGUGC
rnacentral:rRNA from 1 species